GACAGAGGGUGCAAACGUUGUUCGGAAUUACUGGGCGUAAAGCGCGUGUAGGCGGCAAGCCAAGUCGGGUGUGAAAGCCCUGGGCUCAACCCAGGAAGUGCAUUCGAUACUGGCAAGCUAGAGUCCCGGAGAGGAUGGUGGAACUCUCGGUGUAGAGGUGAAAUUCGUAGAUAUCGAGAAGAACACCAGUGGCGAAGGCGGCUCUCUGGACAGGCACUGACGCUGAGACGCGAAAGCGUGGGUAGCGAACAGG
rnacentral:rRNA from 1 species